ACUCAUGGCGCAACGGUAGCGCGUUCGACUCCAGAUCGAAAGGUUGUCUGUUCAAAUCGUAGGUGAAAUA